rnacentral:lncRNA from 1 species
UCGUGUUGUGGGAUUUCCGAGGCUUGAUGUAUUGUCGGAAAAAGAUAAUUCGUUCUUAUGAUGUACUGUUUUACAUUUGUACCACUGUCCAAGGUAAGGGGGGAUUGGGAUCCCGCUAACAUGUUUAACCCCGCCACAUUAUUUAUGUGUGUGCCUGUCCCAAGUCAGGAGCCUGUAAUUCAGUGGUUGUCGUUUGUUUAUGUGGUACAUAUUUGUUUUUCUUUCAUUUUUUUUUAUAUAAAUAAGGCCAUUAGUUUUCUCGUUUGAAUUGUUUUACAUUGUCAUAUCGGGGCCUUUUAUAGCUGACUAUGCGGUAUGGGCUUUGCUUAUUGUUGAAGGCCGUACGGUGACCUAUAGUUGUUAAUGUCUGUGUCAUUUUGGUCUUUGAUCUCAUUGGCAAUCAAACAUAAUUAUCUUCUUUUUCAUAAUAUUAAACUUUCUAGUUUUUUCUUGUUUGUCAUUUUGGGACUUUUUACAGCUGACUAUGCGGUAUAGGUUUUAAUCAUUGUUGAAGGCUGUACUGUAAAUAAACUCAUCAUAGAUACCAGGACUAAAUUU